GUGGGAGGGGGCUUGCCCCCGAUAGCGGUAGAUCAGUCAGUACAUGUUUGACUGACCCACCCCAUCGGGGGCAAGCCCCCUCCCAC
rnacentral:misc_RNA from 1 species